rnacentral:rRNA from 1 species
GGUCGACGAUUACUCCUACGGGAGGCAGCAGUGGGGAAUUUUGGACAAUGGGGGCAACCCUGACGCAGCCAUGCCGCGUGCGGGAAGAAGGCCUUCGGGUUGUAAACCGCUUUUGUCAGGGAAGAAACGCUCUGGGCUAAUACCCUGGGGUAAUGACGGUACCUGAAGAAUAAGCACCGGCUAACUACGUGCCAGCAGCCGCGGUAA